rnacentral:rRNA from 1 species
CCUAUCGGUCUGGAAUAACAUGAGGAAACUUGUGCUAAUACCGGAUAAGCCUUUACAGGGAAAGCUUUAUGCUCCGAUUGAUGAGUCCACACUUGGUUAGUUAGUUGGUGAGGUAAUAGCUUACCAAGACAAUGAUCAAUAGCUGGUCUGAGAGGAUGAUCAGCCACAUCGGGACUGAGACACGGCCCGAACUCCUACGGGAGGCAGCAGUGGGGAAUAUUGGACAAUGGGGGCAACCCUGAUCCAGCAAUACCGCGUGUGUGAAGAAGGCCUGAGGGUUGUAAAGCACUCUCAAUUGUGAAGAAAAGUUAACGGUUAAUAACCGUUAGCCUUGACGUUAACUUUAGAAGAAGCACCGGCUAACUCCGUGCCAGCAGCCGCGGUAAUACGGAGGGUGCAAGCGUUAAUCGGAAUUACUGGGCGUAAAGCGUGCGUAGGCGGUUUAUUAAGUCAGAUGUGAAAGCCCCGGGCUUAACCUGGGAACUGCAUUUGAAACUGGUCAACUAGAGUAUGGUAGAGGAAAGUGGAAUUUCUGGUGUAGCGGUGAAAUGCGUAGAUAUCAGAAGGAACAUCAAUGGCGAAGGCAGCUUUCUGGACCAAUACUGACGCUGAGGUACGAAAGCGUGGGUAGCAAACAGGAUUAGAUACCCUGGUAGUCCACGCCGUAAACGAUGAUAACUAGCCGUUGGGGGGAUUUACCCUUUAGUGGCGAAGCUAACGCGUUAAGUUAUCCGCCUGGGGAGUACGA